rnacentral:lncRNA from 1 species
AAGUAUUCUCCUCCGGAAAUUGCUAUGCGUAAACAUCCGACUUUAAUAAGAUCCAAUUUAUCAAUGGCUAUAAUAUUACUCACUUGACACCUUUUAUCUAACCAAUGUACGUGGUGUUUCAGUUGUAGCAAGUAGUGUAAUUGGAUCGUAUGUAUACCGCACGGACAGAUCUAACAUGGGUGCUAGGGGGCUCAAGCCCCUAACCCGCUGGAUCCCUAUGAAAAAUAAGAGG